UGGGACUGGUGGACGUUUACUGGCUUUGAACAGGAGCUGCUGUGGGUGAAGCUUAAGAUGCUUGAAAAACGUGAAACAGCCAGAGAACAACAUCAAGGUGAUUGAGCCAGAAGGUGCUUCCUGCGGCAGGGAAGAGACAGCCAAGCAUUUCUGGGUGGAGGAUGGUCAAGUGACCAGCGCUGCAGAAGAGGAAGGGACAGAGAAAGAGAGAGGCACCUGAACUGGAAAAUUCUGUGGGCAGCGCUGAAAGCAGGAGCUGCGAAUGCCAGCUGCCAGCGUUUCUCCGUGGUCGCCCUUCCUUCUGCCAUGAUGGUACAGGACAGACGGAAAGAAUCCGGAGUGCUCUGCGAGUACGAGCGGUACUCGAAAACCUCACUGAGAUACUGGCAUCUGUCCUAAAGGCGAUUGAGGUCAAAGAGGAGACAUGGACAAAACGGGACAAACGGGCAUCGCCUCUCUGCGUUCUCCAGGCUUUGCCGUGAAGCAUCAGCAGCGUUUAACUCGUGACGGCGAAUCCUGUGGUUUUGGUUGUGGUUUUGGUGCCUCGUCGUAGGCGUCUCGUGCUGCUCGAGAGAUGCCCCAGCCCAGGUUUGCAGCCGGUGGCGGAGCCCCCCUGAGGAGAAG